AGAGACACUAAAGGACUUCAAAGAGACACUAAAUGACUUCAAAGAGACACGAAAUGACUUCAGAGAGACACUAAAGGACUUCAAAGAAACACUAAAGGACUUCAAAGAGAGAACAAACAACCAAAAAAAGUCAAGGAAAUGCAAAAAGAAUACUAAAACUAGUUCUGCACACGCCUGAAAUCCCUUCACUGUUGAUAGCGUGUACAUUGACUGUCAUCCCGCAGGAGAAUCUGUGCUCCUUUAAAUACGAGGAGCAGAUCAACAUCCUGCUGCUGCCUCUGCACACCGGCUCUAACGGUCUGAACAUCAUCGAGGCGACCCACGUUCUGCUGGUGGAGCCGAUCCUCAACCCGGCCCACGAGCUGCAGGCCAUCGGGAGGGUGCACCGCAUCGGGCAGACCAAGCCAACGUUUGUCCACAGAUUCCUCAUUAAAUCCACCAUUGAAGAGAGGAUGCAAGCGAUGAUGAAGACAGCAGAGAAAAGUCACACCACCACCAUGAAGCACUCGGAGGCCGCCGUGCUGACAGUGGCCGACCUGGCUGAUCUGUUUACUGAAGAACAUCUGGAGUCCAUGUGAACACCUGGACACACACACACACACACACACACACACACACACACACACACACACACACACACACACACACACA